rnacentral:rRNA from 1 species
GCAAGUCGAACGAUGAUAGAGAGCUUGCUUUUCUUGAUUAGUGGCGCACGGGUGAGUAAUGCAUAGAUAAUGUGCCCCUUAGUUCGGGAUAGCAACUGGAAACGGUGAUUAAUACCGGAUACUCCUUCUUGUUAUAAGACAAGUCGGGAAAGUUUUUCGCUAAGGGAUCAGUCUAUGUUCCAUCAGCUUGUUGGUGAGGUAAUGGCUCACCAAGGCUAUGACGGAUAUCUGGUUUGAGAGGAUGAUCAGACACACUGGAACUGAGACACGGUCCAGACUCCUACGGGAGGCAGCAGUGAGGAAUAUUGCACAAUGGAGGAAACUCUGAUGCAGCAACGCCGCGUGGAGGAUGACGCAUUUCGGUGUGUAAACUCCUUUUAUUAGGGAAGAUAAUGACGGUACCUAAUGAAUAAGCACCGGCUAACUCCGUGCCAGCAGCCGCGGUAAUACGGAGGGUGCAAGCGUUACUCGGAAUCACUGGGCGUAAAGGGUGCGUAGGCUGGCUUUUAAGUCAGAUGUGAAAUCCAAUGGCUCAACCAUUGAACUGCAUUUGAAACUGAAAGCCUAGAGUUCAGAAGGGGCAGAUGGAAUUAGUGGUGUAGGGGUAAAAUCCGUAGAUAUCACUAGGAAUAUCAAAAGCGAAGGCGAUCUGCUGGGAUG